UAUUGCACAAUGCGGGAGACCCUGAUGCAGCGACGCCGCGUGAGUCAAGAAGUAUUUCGGUAUGUAAAGCUCUAUCAGCAGGGAAGAAAACGACGGUACCUGAUUAAUAAGCCCCGGCUAACUACGUGCCAGCAGCCGCGGUAAUACGUAGGGGGCAAGCGUUAUCCGGAUUUACUGGGUGUAAAGGGAGCGUAGACGGCAGCACAAGUCUGGAGUGAAAUGCCGGUGCUUAACCCCGGAACUGCUUUGGAAACUGUGCAGCUAGAGUGCAGGAGAGGUAAGUGGAAUUCCUAGUGUAGCGGUGAAAUGCGUAGAUAUUAGGAGGAACACCAGUGGCGAAGGCGGCUUUCUGGACUGUAACUGACGUUGAGGCACGAAAGUGUGGGGAGCAAACAGG
rnacentral:rRNA from 1 species